rnacentral:misc_RNA from 1 species
GUUUUCUACGAAACAAACGGAACUAGAAAAAAGAAGCAACGAGUUCCAUGUCAAAUAAUCAGAGCUGAAAACUUUUUUUCUACCAUUUGCAAGAACGGACUUAAAGCCUUGUGAAAGCAGCCUUCCUAAAAAAGUAUCAAUUAGAGGACUAUAGCUUCCUACAUCAGGCAGGCAGCCUCUUCCAACCAUGUCACCAAGGAGCUUCAAAGCACUCCCUUCUUUUCCUUGCCCAGAAAAAUCCAAUAGUGAGAGCAUUAAAUGAUACAACAGGAAAAUAA